CCUACGGGUGGCUGCAGUGGGGAAUAUUGGACAAUGGGCGAAAGCCUGAUCCAGCCAUGCCGCGUGUGUGAAGAAGGCCUUCGGGUCGUAAAGCACUUUCAGUGGGGAAGAAAGCCUUGGGGCUAAUACCCUCGAGGAAGGACAUCACCCACAGAAGAAGCACCGGCUAACUCCGUGCCAGCAGCCGCGGUAAUACGGAGGGUGCGAGCGUUAAUCGGAAUUACUGGGCGUAAAGCGCGCGUAGGCGGUCUGAUAAGCCGGUUGUGAAAGCCCCGGGCUCAACCUGGGAACGGCAUCCGGAACUGUCAGGCUAGAGUGAAGGAGAGGAAGGUAGAAUUCCCGGUGUAGCGGUGAAAUGCGCAGAGAUCGGGAGGAAUACCAGUGGCGAAGGCGGCCUUCUGGACUGACACUGACGCUGAGGUGCGAAAGCGUGGGUAGCAAACAGGAUUAGAUACCCUAGAGUC
rnacentral:rRNA from 1 species